rnacentral:rRNA from 1 species
GACGAACGCUGGCGGCGUGCCUAAUACAUGCGAGUCGAGCGAAGUUUUUCUGGUGCUUGCACUAGAAAAACUUAGCGGCGAACGGGUGAGUAACACGUAAAGAACCUGCCUCAUAGACUGGGACAACUAUUGGAAACGAUAGCUAAUACCGGAUAACAGUAUUUCUCGCAUGAGAGAUAUUUAAAAGUUGGUUAUGCUAACACUAUGAGAUGGCUUUGCGGUGCAUUAGCUAGUUGGUGGGGUAAAGGCCUACCAAGGCGACGAUGCAUAGCCGACCUGAGAGGGUGAUCGGCCACACUGGGACUGAGACACGGCCCAGACUCCUACGGGAGGCAGCAGUAGGGAAUCUUCCGCAAUGGGCGAAAGCCUGACGGAGCAACGCCGCGUGAGUGAAGAAGGAUUUCGGUUCGUAAAGCUCUGUUGUUAGGGAAGAAUGGAUAUGUAGUAACUAUACAUAUAAGAGACGGUACCUAACCAGAAAGCCACGGCUAACUACGUGCCAGCAGCCGCGGUAAUACGUAGGUGGCAAGCGUUGUCCGGAAUUAUUGGGCGUAAAGCGCGCGCAGGUGGUUUAAUAAGUCUGAUGUGAAAGCCCACGGCUCAACCGUGGAGGGUCAUUGGAAACUGUUAAACUUGGGUGCAGGAGAGAAAAGUGGAAUUCCUAGUGUAGCGGUGAAAUGCGUAGAGAUUAGGAGGAACACCAGUGGCGAAGGCGGCUUUUUGGCCUGUAACUGACACUGAGGCGCGAAAGCGUGGGGAGCAAACAGG